rfam:Parcubacteria bacterium GW2011_GWC2_42_12 TT95_C0005, whole genome shotgun sequence.
GGAGGGUUCGCAUAGUGGUCGAGUGCGCAUCCCUGGAAAGGAUGUAUGUCCGCAAGGGCAUCGAGAGUUCGAAUCUCUCACCCUCCG